rnacentral:tRNA from 1 species
GCGCGAUUAGCUCAGCGGGAGAGCGCUUCCCUGACACGGAAGAGGUCACUGGUUCAAUCCCAGUAUCGCCCACCG